AAAUUGAAGAGUUUGAUCAUGGCUCAGAUUGAACGCUGGCGGCAGGCCUAACACAUGCAAGUCGAACGGUAACAGGAAGCAGCUUGCUGCUUUGUUGACGAGUGGCGGACGGGUGAGUAAUGUCUGGGAAACUGCCUGAUGGAGGGGGAUAACUACUGGAAACGGUGGCUAAUACCGCAUAACGUCGCAAGACCAAAGAGGGGGACCUUCGGGCCUCUUGCCAUCAGAUGUGCCCAGAUGGGAUUAGCUUGUUGGUGAGGUAACGGCUCACCAAGGCGACGAUCCCUAGCUGGUCUGAGAGGAUGACCAGCCACACUGGAACUGAGACACGGUCCAGACUCCUACGGGAGGCAGCAGUGGGGAAUAUUGCACAAUGGGCGCAAGCCUGAUGCAGCCAUGCCGCGUGUAUGAAGAAGGCCUUCGGGUUGUAAAGUACUUUCAGCGGGGAGGAAGGUGUUGUGGUUAAUAACCGCAGCAAUUGACGUUACCCGCAGAAGAAGCACCGGCUAACUCCGUGCCAGCAGCCGCGGUAAUACGGAGGGUGCAAGCGUUAAUCGGAAUUACUGGGCGUAAAGCGCACGCAGGCGGUCUGUCAAGUCGGAUGUGAAAUCCCCGGGCUCAACCUGGGAACUGCAUUCGAAACUGGCAGGCUUGAGUCUUGUAGAGGGGGGUAGAAUUCCAGGUGUAGCGGUGAAAUGCGUAGAGAUCUGGAGGAAUACCGGUGGCGAAGGCGGCCCCCUGGACAAAGACUGACGCUCAGGUGCGAAAGCGUGGGGAGCAAACAGGAUUAGAUACCCUGGUAGUCCACGCCGUAAACGAUGUCUACUUGGAGGUUGUGCCCUUGAGGCGUGGCUUCCGGAGCUAACGCGUUAAGUAGACCGCCUGGGGAGUACGGCCGCAAGGUUAAAACUCAAAUGAAUUGACGGGGGCCCGCACAAGCGGUGGAGCAUGUGGUUUAAUUCGAUGCAACGCGAAGAACCUUACCUGGUCUUGACAUCCACGGAAGUUUUCAGAGAUGAGAAUGUGCCUUCGGG
rnacentral:rRNA from 1 species